UGCUUCUCAUUUGGAGGAAGAAAAUUAGC
rnacentral:piRNA from 1 species